rnacentral:rRNA from 1 species
UACAGAGGUCUCAAGCGUUGUUCGGAUUCAUUGGGCGUAAAGGGUGCGUAGGCGGCGCGGUAAGUCGGGUGUGAAAUCUCGGAGCUUAACUCCGAAACUGCAUUCGAUACUGCCGUGCUUGAGGACUGGAGAGGAGACUGGAAUUUACGGUGUAGCGGUGAAAUGCGUAGAUAUCGUAAGGAAGACCAGUGGCGAAGGCGGGUCUCUGGACAGUUUCCUGACGCUGAGGCACGAAGGCCAGGGGAGCAAACGGG